AUGUCCUCCCCGUAUUGAAUGGCGUUGUCGAUGUGUGAGAGUACAAGGGUGAUGGAGUCUGGGUCGUAGAUGUUGAGCGGCAGAAACCCCACGAGGCUGAAAUCUUCGAGCAAGGAGCCCAUGGCCUGGUUUAAGCGGAGGAGGGA
rnacentral:SRP_RNA from 15 species